rnacentral:rRNA from 1 species
GGGCAGCCAAGCGUGAGGCGGAGCUAAUCCCUUUAAAGCCAUUCUCAGUUCGGAUUGUAGGCUGAAACUCGCCUACAUGAAGCUGGAGUUACUAGUAAUCGCAGAUCAGAAUGCUGCGGUGAAUGCGUUCCCGGGCCUUGUACACACCGCCCGUCAAACCAUGAGAGUUGGCAACACCCGAAGUCGGUAGUCUAACCGCAAGGAGGACGCCGCCGAAGGUGGGGUUGAUGAUUAGGGUUAAGUCGUAACAAGGUAAC